rnacentral:rRNA from 1 species
UACGAAGGGGGCUAGCGUUGCUCGGAAUCACUGGGCGUAAAGGGUGCGUAGGCGGGUUAUUAAGUCAGUGGUGAAAGCUCCAUGCCUAACAUGGAAAUUGCCAUUGAUACUGAUGAUCUUGAGUACAUUUGAAGUGGGCGGAAUGUGUCAUGUAGUGGUGAAAUACUUAGAUAUGACACAGAACACCGAUUGCGUAGGCAGCUCACUAAACUGUAACUGACGCUGAGGCACGAAAGCGUGGGGAGCAAACAGG